rnacentral:misc_RNA from 1 species
AACGCAACUAGCGCUGCUUGGUACAUCGGGCAGCACACCUUAUUGAGUGUCGAUUCUAUCACCACUCGGCAGCGUGCGUAAAAAACACGCGUGGAUGGAUAAUGAGUAGCAUGUUGCAAAACAAGUUACUUUAAAUCACAGAUGGUCUAUACACCUUUCCUAAUGAGGAUAAAGACUAAACGUGUAUAACAUCCAAAACUUUUUCGGUCUGUAACUUGUCAUUAGUCUGUUCAGAUCUCAUACGACAAUGCAGUUUUAAUAAUGAUCUCAAGUAAGGCGAGAGAACCCGCUUAAUUU